AGGACAAGGGCCUGAAGACCUUGGGCGAGGCUCUGGCAAUGGGGGGGACAGGGUAGAAGGACAUACUGGGUUUAGCCCGAGGAGGAAAGGAAGCGGUGCUGGGUUUUGAUAAGAAGUAGGCGACUUUGUCCUGAACCCAAGACCUGAGACAGAGCUCUGAAAAUUUCCAAAGGCAUUGUCCAGAACAAUAAGCACCAAGUCCAUGCACUAGCAAAGGCAUUGCCCAGAACAGUAAGCACCAAGCCCCUGCACUAUCAGACCCUCCCGCGGGACAGUUCUGACAGCAGGCCCAGGCCAUGCCAGAGGUGGAAGAGGCGGGUCAUCAGCUGCUCACUUCUCUUCAGCCCUGGAAGCCAGAAGCUGGGGGCUGGAGAGAGGGAAGAUGCUCUCAACUGGAUGGAAACCAUUCAAAGUUUUGACAUGACAACUUACAGGAUUUUUUAAUUAUUAAAAUGAGACUGAUCUUGGAACUACAUGCAGCUGGAGGGCUUUCAGUUAUCUGGGAAUGAUGGACCAAAAAAACCAAACCAACCAAACAGCGAUGGGACUUUCCUCAAUUCAUUCCGGACAAGUCAACAAAGAAGUGUAAAGGGAGUUACAGGGCACUUUGUUCCUUCCUGCUUCUCUGAUUCUCCCUGUGUGCUACAAGAGAUUUGCCUUUCAGAUGGGUUUUUCUGGCACUGGUGAGGGGAGGUGAUUAGCGGUGGGAGGGUGAGCCGAGAGACAAGCCGGGAAUGGCCUGGCAGCUGUGCUUGUCAUCCACACCACAGAUACUUCAAGGCUGGACUAUCCAGGGCUUUCACUAACUGAUGCAACAUGGGGAGAUUUUGUUCUGGAAGAUUCCAUGAUUUAAGGACUCCAGACCUCAACCCAGCUCCAUUCCCGCAGCCCCCCAGGCAUUCACUCAGAGCUGAUGGGAAUUUUUUUCAGCUCUCUGGACCAUGGCCAGCAUCAUAGCCGUGGUGUCUGCCUUGCUCUCUGAUCCGGGCUAUGACUUCCUGAAGGCACUGUUCCCCAUUCGCAGACGCAUGGACCCAGCCUCUAACCACAACCACACAUGAACGCACACGCAGCCCAGCCUCCUUGGAAGGAUUUGCAAGGGAUCGCCGUCAGGGGCCUCGAAAAUCAAAUACCAGAGAUAAGGGGUACCAGAGGGAGCCCAGCAGCCCCUGAGGCCCAACUGCUACCUUCUCAGUCCCCUGAGCACUGACUUCAUGUUGCCCGGCACAGAGGCCACUGGCUGUGUGGCUAAUGAACACUGGGAACGCCCACGCUCAAACUGAGAUGCUCUGAAAGUGUAAAAUACAUGCCCAAUUUAGCAGUCAACACAAGAAAAAAAGGUAAAAUAUUUCACACAUAAUUCCCAUAAAGGGUACCUGUGAAAAUAAUGUUGGAUCUAUUGAGACCAAUAAAAUAUAUUAUUAAAAUUAAUUUCACCCUUAUUUUUAAAGUUCUAAAGCUUGGAUUCUAGGAAAUGUAAGGUCGGGUAUAGGGCUCACACUGUAUUUCCUUU
rnacentral:lncRNA from 1 species